rnacentral:lncRNA from 1 species
UAAGACCUAAGCAUCUAUGCUAAGAAGGAAGUUAAUGGAAUGCAGUAGUUUGAUGGAAAGCUAUUAAUGGAAAACAGUGGUUUGAAAUCUCUCUGAAGCCCUUAACUAAGAUGGAAGUUUAUAAAAGACAACAAAACAUUAAUGUUGUCUUUGUAAAGAAACAAAAAGGUCCCGUGGAGAAAUAUAUUUGGAAAAAGAGGUUGGUGUUCU